rnacentral:rRNA from 1 species
UGGGGAAUAUUGCACAAUGGAGGGAACUCUGAUGCAGCGACGCCGCGUGAACGAAGAAGGCUUUCGCGUCGUAAAGUUCUUUUAUAUGGGAAGAUAAUGACGGUACCAUAAGAAAAAGCCCCGGCUAACUACGUGCCAGCAGCCGCGGUAAUACGUAGGGGGCUAGCGUUGUCCGGAAUCACUGGGCGUAAAGGGUUCGCAGGCGGAAAUGCAAGUCAGGUGUAAAAGGCAGUAGCUUAACUACUGUAAGCAUUUGAAACUGCAUAUCUUGAGGAGAGUAGAGGUAAGUGGAAUUUUUAGUGUAGCGGUGAAAUGCGUAGAUAUUAAAAAGAAUACCGGUGGCGAAGGCGACUUACUGGGCUCAUUCUGACGCUGAGGAACGAAAGCGUGGGUAGCAAACAGG